AGCGUCCAUUGCUCCAAUGGAUAGGACAUAGGUCUUCUAAAACCUUUGGUAUAGGUUCAAAUCCUAUUGACGCAA
rnacentral:tRNA from 1 species